ACACGCACAGGCACAGCCUGCUCGGAGUAGUAAUCCAUCCAGCGAGACGACGCGCUGAGGUGUGUGCUGGGCAGCUGGCUGGCUGGCGGCCCCCCAUGUGAGCCCCUCUCCCCCAUGGCCCCAUCGCUGCCCGCUUCUUCAGGGCCUGUUUUCUUCCACUUGCUAAACUUUAGCACCCGUCACAUCGAAUGUUUAGAUACUAAUUAGGAG
rnacentral:lncRNA from 1 species